rnacentral:rRNA from 1 species
AUUGAACGCUGGCGGCAGGCUUAACACAUGCAAGUCGAGCGGGGGAAGGUAGCUUGCUACCGGACCUAGCGGCGGACGGGUGAGUAAUGCUUAGGAAUCUGCCUAUUAGUGGGGGACAACAUCUCGAAAGGGAUGCUAAUACCGCAUACGUCCUACGGGAGAAAGCAGGGGAUCUUCGGACCUUGCGCUAAUAGAUGAGCCUAAGUCGGAUUAGCCAGUUGGUGGGGUAAAGGCCUACCAAGGCGACGAUCUGUAGCGGGUCUGAGAGGAUGAUCCGCCACACUGGGACUGAGACACGGCCCAGACUCCUACGGGAGGCAGCAGUGGGGAAUAUUGGACAAUGGGCGGAAGCCUGAUCCAGCCAUGCCGCGUGUGUGAAGAAGGCCUUUUGGUUGUAAAGCACUUUAAGCGAGGAGGAGGCUACUUGGAUUAAUACUCUAGGAUAGUGGACGUUACUCGCAGAAUAAGCACCGGCUAACUCUGUGCCAGCCGCCGCGGUAA